ACCUCAAGUCAUGUGAGAGUACCCGCUGAACUUAAGCAUAUCAAUAAGCGGAGGAAAAGAAACUAACAAGGAUUCCCCUAGUAACGGCGAGUGAAGCGGGAAGAGCACAAAUUUAAAAUCUACCUGGUUUUCAGGUCGAGUUGUAAUUUGAGGAUACGUUUUUGACGUUCUGGGUUGGACUAAAUCCUUUGGGAUAAGGUAUCAUAGAGGGUGAGAAUCCCGUAUAUACCAACCGUAGGGAUGUUAUUAAAUACGUUUCUAAGAGUCGAGUUGUUUGGGAAUGCAGCUCUAAAUGGGUGGUAAAUUUCACCUAAUGCUAAAUAUAAGCGAGAGACCGAUAGCGAACAAGUACAGUGAUGGAAAGAUGAAAAGAACUUUGAAAAGAGAGUUAAAUAGUACGUGAAAUUGUUGAAAGGGAAACGAUUGAAGUCAGUCAUGCCGGUGGGAAUCAACUUAGGGGAAACUCUGGGUGCACUUCUUCGCUUGGCAGGUCAACGUCGAUUUUGAAUGUCAUAAAAUAAUUGGGGGAAGGUAGCUCCUUCGGGAGUGUUAUAGCCCUUGAUAGAUGUGAUGUUUGAGGUCGAGGAUUGCAACGGAUACCCUUCGGGGCUAGCUGCCUGAUCUCUAAUUGGUGUUGGGUUACGGAUAGCAUGCUGACCGUGAUCUAAUUACUGGUUAAAAGGUUAGAGUGUGCAUAAAUUCGUUAAGGACGUUGACGUAAUGGCUUUAAACGACCCGUCUUGAAACACGGACCAAGGAGUCUAACAUGUAUGCGAGUGUUAGGGUAUUAAACCCAGACGCGAAAUGAAAGUGAGUGUAGGUGGGAUCCUUUWUUGGAGCACCAUCGACCGAUCUUGAGAUUUAUCGANNNNNNNNNNNNAGC
rnacentral:rRNA from 1 species